rnacentral:rRNA from 1 species
UGAGGAAUAUUGGUCAAUGGGCGAGAGCCUGAACCAGCCAAGUAGCGUGCAGGAUGACGGCCCUAUGGGUUGUAAACUGCUUUUAUGUGGGGAUAAAGUGCGUGACGUGUCAUGCAUUGCAGGUACCACAUGAAUAAGGACCGGCUAAUUCCGUGCCAGCAGCCGCGGUAAUACGGAAGGUCCGGGCGUUAUCCGGAUUUAUUGUGUUUAAAGGGAGCGUAGGCUGUCUAUUAAGCGUGUUGUGAAAUAUACCGGCUCAACCGGUGGCUUGCAGCGCGAACUGGUCGACUUGAGUAUGCAGGAAGUAGGCGGAAUUCAUGGUGUAGCGGUGAAAUGCUUAGAUAUCAUGACGAACUCCGAUUGCGCAGGCAGCUUACUGUAGCAUAACUGACGCUGAUGCUCGAAAGUGCGGGUAUCAAACAGG